GGGGAUUUUGCUGGAGUUCCCUGCCUACUUGAGGCCUGCUGAAGAAAACAAAGUAGAAGGAAAUGAAAUUCCCUGCUGAAAACUUCUGCUAGGAAGAGAUUAUGACACUGAGGGGUGCUGAGUUCAUUUUUAUUAAUCCAUUUCAUUUAAUCUCUGCUUGACCUGCUCUGUCAGCAGCUGUGAUUCUGUUACUUGGAAAAAAAGUCGUACGAGAGGUUAUGAGUGUGAAAAUGUGGAACUUGCCCAAGAAAGGAUUGAAGGAGCUUCGUGGAAGUCAAGAAAUGUUGAAUGCUUUCUCUUUUUGCUGUGUUGAGCCAAGAAGCAAGAGGACUGAUUUCUUUCUGCUCUGUUCUGCACCAAGGAUCAGUAAUUUACAGCAUGGAUGCUGGCAGAGGAAGAGUCAAGAGCAAGGAUCGCAGCUUCUUGAGAUGUGCACCCAAAGCAGCAUUGCUUUGCAGUUCCCAGUAUCCAGGUGUUACAGAUGGAGAAGGGCAGGGGUGUUUCUUCUCUGCAUUCAUGCUAUUAUGGUCAUCUCCCAUUGGGAAUCGUAGAAUCAUUAAGGUUAGGAAAGACCGCUGAGGUCAUCUAGUCUAGCAACUGAAUUGCUGCCACUAGGUUCAGCCUGUCUCCCAGUUAAGAAAAAUACUGUCCUGCAUAUCUCUUGAAAAAUUACCAAAUUGUACCUUGAAAUGCAUGUUGUACUCAGGAGUGAUUAUAUGUGAAAGAUAAACAGAAAUCAGUUUCAUUUUUAGCUAAAGAUAAAUUGACACUUAGAAUUUGCAAAACAUCCUAUUCUCAGAAUUAAAGUAGUCCCUUUGGAGACAUCUCUGUACUCUCUUUUACAGCAAAUUGGCUCUUUUUUAAUUGCCUGAUCUCUUUCUAUCUGUAGUUCAUUCUUCUCUCCACCCACCUCCAUAAUCCCUUUGUUUUCUUCUCUGCACCAUUUCCCAACCAAUUUUUCUUUGAAAACAAGAAAUGAGUUGUAAAUCUCAAAUGACUUGAAGAUUUUCAAAGAACUAGGGGAAAAAACUAUUUCAAAUAUCCCGUCCCUCCCAUUGUCCUGCUAACUCCUCUGUGCCCAAACAGUAGCAGCUCAGAAACUGGCCUCACAGGGUGCUGGUCCCUGCUCUCCUUCUCUGUCCUCAGAAAUCUUGACUUUUUCUUGGCACUCCUCCUGAGAAAGUGUUCAUUUUUUCAUGUAUUUGUAUUCUGUUGGAUGUUAUAGAUUGUACAGAGGAAAAAUUUCCAAAUUAUCAAAACAGGUUGUGAACCAGUGCUAUAAUGUGAAGAGCAAUCACAGAUCAGUGGAUACUCAUGAAAAAUUCUGUUUUUCUCAAAGACAGCUGUCAGAUUAGCUAGUUUUGAUACAGGAAUAAGCAACUAACUUCUUGGCUAUUAUAUGCUGGAAAUCAUGCUAGAGAUACUGGUUAUUGUCCUGUUCAAUGGUGGUAUACAUGAUCGAUUUGUUAAGGUUAGAAAAGACCACAGAGAUCAUCAAGACCAACUGUUUUGCCAUCCCCACCAUGCCCAUUAAUCCACAUCACUCAGUAUCCUGACUUAGACAAUUUAUUCUGUCAUUUUGCUUCCCUAACUUCAUCAAAUAGCAGUAUGUGAGAAUUGGGUGAACUGGUUCACAACAGUAUUAAGCCAGAAAUAGUUUUUUUUUUUUUUUUUCACAACAGCCAAGUCCUGUGUCUCUAUCCAUGGUCAUAGUUGCCUGUAUAGGGAAGGGUGUGGAUGCUCAUGAUUGUGGGGCUGCUUUGUGUCAGACAGCAAGGCAUGGAAUUUCUCCUGCAGAUAUGAGGAGCACCUCUAAUCACAGAGCAAGUCUGAGAAUGACCCAUCUGUUUGCAAAGGGGGAAAUAGCUCCCUAGCUUUUGAGCAGAAGCCCAGCACACUAGAAAGCUGGAUGGUUCAGUAUUCCUGUGAAGUAAUCUGAGGAGUUUUGGGUCGUUGCUGAGACCUUAAGCAUGCAGACAUAAAACUGUAUUCCUGGUGUAAAUUGUGAAAAAGGCCACAACUUUAGCAUAUCAUCCCUUUAGAUGUACAAUUAUGCCUAUUUGCCAUUUUAUGAAGUAUACAAAGGACAGCAAGUGGUACUUCUGCAUAAAAACAAAAAACCUGCUACAUGCUCUAUAUAGCUCUGAUCAGAGGGGGGAAAAUGACUACAGAUUUGUGGUUGACAAGCUUCAGAAAGGGUUCAGCAGAGUGUGAAAAUUGACAUUUAGCAAAUAGCAAUUCAGCCUUCAUUUUUUGUCAAGUUGCUUGGAAUAAACUGCAGGUUUAAAACAAAAUGUUUGGUCACUUGUUACAUUGGAUAUUGCUUGUCUCAUUACUGCAGUUAAUUAAAGGGGGAACGAAAGUCAAAGCUAGAGUCAAUAAGAUUGUUAAUAAAGAUUUAAUUUGGUGGAAUCAUUAUAAAUUGACUGUACAAUGAAUGGAUAUACCAUAGAAGUAUCAGUGUCGGAAGGUCUAUAAAUGCAUUUUCAGAAAUA